rnacentral:tRNA from 1 species
UGGGGGAUCGUUCAGCGGCAGGACGCGGGCCUUUGGCUCCCGAGACCCUGGUUCGAUUCCAGGUCCCCCAGCCA